CCCAAUCCAUGCAACAUCGAGCAUCUACGAUGUUUCUACCCUUAGAAUAUAAAGCUAUGUACUUGGUUUCCCUUUUUAUUGAAUAAAUAAAACCUUUGUGGUUCUUUUUGUGUACCUAAUGCCUUACUAUUAUCCUUCCCAAGUUGUCUCUCAUGCUCGGGGGCUGUCCACCCUAUUAAGCAGCCCACUCACUCAUAAGCUUGGGGUCUCCCCCCCCCCCCCGGCGCUGACCUCUGGGUCACGCCCUUUCUCUCCUCCCCUCCC
rnacentral:lncRNA from 1 species